UUUUUUUUCACCACAUUCCUCCUUUUCAGAGCUUAGCCUGCAAAGCCCACACCCCAUUGUUGAGAAUAUAUAUAAUAUAUAUUAUUUAAAAUUUAAACCCACCAAGUGUAUGAGUACUAUAUUCGUAUAAGGUAAAUUAGAAGAAGACAAUUUAAACCCACCAGCUUUUUCAGUAUUUUAUGUUUAUUAUGACCUGUCUUUCAUGUGACCCUUUUUUCUCUUUUUAAACUUGUUUAUUCCUCUCUCUCUCUCUCACCCCUACACAUAUUUUCAAUAUAUCAGUACUCACUUCAUCAUCUGGUUUUUGCAGCAGGAGCACAGAGAAAUAAUAGAGUUAAAAGAGGUCCCUUUUGCUUUGAUUGCUCAAAUCAUGAGAUAUUUUUGUUUGUGUUUUUGUGAAGAAAUAAGGUCAAAGAAAAGAUGGUGUUUGGAAUGAAGUUUGAUCCAAGAUCCCUCCUCCACUCCCUUUCAUCCACAUCUCUUCUACUUUCAUUUUCUUUUAUACACACACACACACACAUAUAUAUUAAUUCUCUCGUUAAUUCUUACCCUAAUUCCUUCCUAGCUAGUUAGAACAAUAACUAACAACAAAGUGAAGAAGGUUUUUCUUUUUCUUUUUCCCCUUUUUUUUUUUGUGUGUUUGGGGUUUCAUUUAGCUCCCUAAAUGAUCACAUGCACAUAAAAAACCAAAUAGUCUUCUGAUAAGAAUGAAGAAUGAGGAGAGUGAGAUAUUCCAUUUUGACAUCUUUAUGUUUGUCUUCUUUUGUGAGAAGGAAAAAAGAUCUUUUUUUCUUUACAGUAUCGUAGGAGGUAAGGAUAUCCACAAAUAGUUUCUUGAUUACCAACCCAUAUGUACAAUUGAAUUAUGUUCAUUUUUUUUGCAAGGAUGAUAGAAUUUAACAAGAAGGAAAAAAAAAAAAAAAAAAAAACAAUGAAAACUUGCAUGCACUCUCCUCCUGUAUAUUACUCAGAGGCUUAACCCUACCCUAAGGAUUCUCAUUAACUCCCACCCACAACCAUGACAUAUUUUUUUCUCAUGCUUUGUGUACAUGUAGUUUUUUCUUUUUCAACUUUCUUUUGAAUACUUCUCUUUUGGUAUAUUUCUUCAAUUUUGGUAAUUUGUUAGGGUUUUGUUGGUAGUCAUAUAAAGUUUAUUAUGGAUCUCGGACCAGGCUUCAUUCCUCAUACCAAACUUUUCAACCCUACGCCAUUUUAUUGAAGAACAAAAGACUCUAUAGAGAGCUAUGGUCAACGACAUAUUUAGUGUGGGUUCAGGAGUUCGAACCCCCUCAACGUUAUGCUCUUCUUAUAUAUAGAGAGAGUGGUUAUUUGGACCAGUAGAUCUCCACAGCUGAACAACUAUCGUGCUAGCACCAUAGCUCUAAAUUUAAAUGAUUUUCAUUAACCGUUAUUUUUAAUUGGGUUGCUUGGGCUUCUCUCUAACCCUUUUUGUUUUCUCUUGGCUUCGUGUAUUUCUUUUCUUAUCAUUAAUAAAGUGGGAUAGAUGAUGGUGCUAAAGGGAUGUCCACCUAGUGGAAAUGUGCACCUACUGUAUUUUUUUUUAAAAAAAGAAGUUAUUAUGUUCAAAGUAUUUAGAUCUUUGAAAAUUAAGUG